CCUGCCUCAGCCUCCCGAGUAGCUGGGAUUACAGGCGCCCGCCACCUCGCCCGGCUAGUUUUUUGUAUUUUUUAGUAGAGACGGGGUUUCACAGUGUUAGCCAGCAUGGUCUCGAUCUCCUGACCUCGUGAUCUACCCGUCUCGGCCUCCCAAAGUGCUGGGAUUACAGGCUUGAGCCACCGCGCCCGGCCAUUUUUUUGUAUUUUUAGUAGAGACAGGGUUUCACCAUGUUAGCCAGGAUGGUCUCGAUCUCCUGACCUUGGGUGAUCCACCUGCUUCAGCCUCCCAAAGUGCUGGGAUUACAGGCAUGAGCCACCACCCUGGUCUUAUUUAUCUUUUAAAGAAUAUAGUGACUCAGGCAAGAGACGUAGGGGGGUUUGUCUUUAAAGCAUCUUUCUGGAGAGCUGCAUGUUGUCAUAGAAUCAGGGGCUUGUGAAAUGAUGCUGGCAUGCAGAAAUGAGAAACAUGGCUUCUUAAAUUUGUUACUUUGUCUUAUAUGACCCAUGCUACCCCUUCAGAGGACCAGAUCUGGGAAGAAGCUAACAGUAUGCAGUAUGCCACCUCUCCAUGUGUUGUGUAAAACCUUGAUGUGUAGUGUUUGUCUAUUUCCUAGUAUAAAUAUGGCCAAUGUCAAGCUACCAACAUGACAUCACUUAACCUGGAGUUAAGAUGCACACAGUCCGUUCUUGCAAGCCAGGAAGAGUCGGCUCCAGCACCCCACUCAGUGAGGCCAGCCCUGAGAACAGCAGAGCUGGGAGCGAAAAGCACCUGCACACAGAUCUGCACCACGGAUCUGCCUCCACGUGGGCAGCUUUCUGUUACUUGGGGCCAAAUGCAUCCCACACCCUGGAGGACUGCACGGCAAGAAGAGAAGAAAACCCAGGAGCAGCCCAGAGGAACGGACAGGAUUUAUGCAGCAGGCAGAGGAAGAGGAGGCCGUGAGCUCAGCUGCCACAGUACUGUGGUGAUGCCAAGGAGAUCCUGACUAAUGCACUAAGGCCUAGGGCUGCAUGCCGAGGACUCAGGAAGUCUCUCGAAGAAUCAUCCUCUGCACACAAGAACACUGCUAUCCGCCAAAGCUGAUGUCAGCUAUUCCCUGCAGCCUGGCCUGGUCCAGCAGAGACAGCUCUGCUAAACUACCAAAGACAGGAAGAAAAUGAGCCACAUUUGUUUCUCAUAAAAUAUAUAUGCU
rnacentral:lncRNA from 1 species